GAUGAACGCUAGCGGCAGGCUUAACACAUGCAAGUCGAGGGGCAGCACGGGUAGCAAUACCUGGUGGCGACCGGCGCAAGGGUGCGUAACGCGUGAGCAACAUGCCCUAUACAGGGGGAUAAUCCAGGGAAACUUGGUCUAAUAUCCCAUAGCAUUUAGAGGAGGCAUCUUCACUAAAUUAAAGCUUCGGUGGUAUAGGAUUGGCUCGCGUGACAUUAGCUAGAUGGUGAGGUAACGGCCCACCAUGGCUAUGAUGUCUAGGGGUUCUGAGAGGAAGACCCCCCACACUGGGACUGAGACACGGCCCAGACUCCUACGGGAGGCAGCAGUGAGGAAUAUUGGACAAUGGAUGGAAAUCUGAUCCAGCCAUGCCGCGUGCAGGAAGACGGCCCUAUGGGUUGUAAACUGCUUUUAUAUGGGAGCAAUAAGGUUUACGAGUAGACCGAUGAGAGUACCAUAUGAAUAAGCAUCGGCUAACG
rnacentral:rRNA from 1 species